AUUUCUAUCCAUCCACAGCAUGUAAAACGUACCCAGAAUAGUUUCAUUCACAUCUACCUUCUAACGGUGAGCAAAGAUCUUGAGGAAUUGAAAAUUGAAAUACACAAAUUACAAUAUGAAGGACUCGCACUGCCACUAAAACUUGCGGAGAUAGAAACGAGAAUUAAAAUCAGAUGUUUUCUGGAAAAAUUCACAGAAAGACAACCUGGCAAUGAGUUAAAACAUUUGAUGUAUUCUUCUGACAAAGACAGUCAUGUGUCUAAUACAAUAUCUCUCGACCUUGAGACUAAACCAAAGAUAUGUCUGCCCAACCAACGAAAAAAAGGAAAUGUGUAAGUUAUUAAAACAGGAGGAGAAACUGACCGACACGAGGUGAAAGGAUCUGAAAGAGCUUCGAAGCAGAUAGUACGAUCGGAUCGUCUCCCUUGAUCGCAUUGACGAGCCAUGCGGCGGCAUAAUGCAUCAAGCUUGGUCAAUGCGGGUUUCAGAGUUCAUCGUGACGUGCAUUUUCGGCGUGUGGCAUGGUAAUUUACCAAACCAAUAUGGCGUCCACAUCAAAACGAUGUGCAGACGAAGUCGAAGAGGACGAAUCUGACGAUUCAGGCGAUGAUAGAUCUGAAGUUAGUCCAGGAGGUUGGCAUGUCUGUAACUGUAUCUCCAUGCUAGACGAUAUUUUUUCUACAUCAACAAUGCCAUCGGCAGCAUUGCUGUCAAAUGAUACGGCCAUGAUCUUCUUUUUAUUGCCUGAUGAGAUGAUCACAUCCAUCGCAUUCCA